CCCAGAGCCUCCUGGUGCACUACCAAGGUAUUCCUGCCAGCUUUCCAGCCUGAGAUGUUGGUGCAGCUGUAGCAGCCCGGGCCACAGAUAGAGUCACAGUAAGCCAAGUCAAUCUCAAGGAGCAGUAGCAGAAUGGCAGCCCUACACCAUGCAGUAAUACCAACGUUUAGCUUACAGAGGAAUGAGUGAUCUGAACUGCUCCAUCAAUACCAAUGCUGAUGCAAGUGGAUCUGAACCAGGAACAGAGCCGUAUGUCUCCCAAGGAAGGCCCAGCUCUGCCAUUUGAACAAUCCUUCUCCAUCUGCUGCUCCUGCUACAGGAGCUGUGUGUGGAGUGGCAGCGCGGUGACGCCAGGCCUGCAGACACUGCCUCUCUGUCACUCCUGUGUUUCCAG
rnacentral:lncRNA from 1 species